CUACGGGGCGCUGCAGUGGGGAAUUUUUCGCAAUGGGGGAAACCCUGACGAAGCAACGCCGCGUGGAGGAUGAAGGCCUUCGGGUCGUAAACUCCUGUCGACUGGGAAGAAUGCACCUGACCUAAUACGUCAAAGUGUUGACUGUACCGGUGGAGGAAGCCACGGCUAACUCUGUGCCAGCAGCCGCGGUAAUACAGAGGUGGCAAGCGUUGUUCGGAAUUACUGGGCGUAAAGGGCGCGUAGGCGGCCCGCCAAGUCCCGUGUGAAAUCCCCCGGCUCAACCGGGGAACGGCGCGGGAAGCUAGCAGGCUUGAGUUCGGGAGAGGGAAGCGGAAUUCCGGGUGUAGCGGUGAAAUGCGCAGAUAUCCGGAGGAACACCGGUGGCGAAGGCGGCUUCCUGGACCAAUACUGACACUGAGGUGCGAAAGCGUGGGGAGCAAACAGGAUUAGAUACCCGCGUAGUC
rnacentral:rRNA from 1 species